UCACGGAGUGGUGAAGACGCAACAGAAGAACCCACUUCAACAUGGUAUGUGACGUCACAGAGGAUCAAGCGGACCAUGACGUAAAGAUGGAAUGAAGAAAAGUCAGCGAAUAAAGCUGCCGAAGAAAAGCGCAAGACGAAGAACAAAGACGAAGACGCCAAUAUAAGGAUGCCGGUUUGAGGUGUUUGUAGGCUAAGUGUGUAUAGGUCUACUAUAAGUGUGUAUAGGCUUAUAUAGGUGUGUACGCGCGAAGAAAGAAGAUCAAAGACGCCGAUAAAGGAUGUUGGUUUCAGGUGAUUUAGGUUUAGUGUUUAAGUAUGAGUGUUCGUGUGUAUGUUAGCUGAUGCACUCUUACAGUGUUGCCAGCUAUUUUUUGCUGAACCUAAUGUUGCCAGCUAUGUCCCCCAAGCACUUUUCAGUGUUUCUAUAUGUCUUUGAAAUAAAUGCAAAGGAGUCUUUUAUCUGUCGGGACUUGAAUCUUACAGCGGUUUUGUAUUGUCUCGGUUUGCUUUGCGAGAACUCUUGUGUUGGUACACAUCAGAGUCAUAGAAAUACCGAGUAGUCCAACCCAUUGUUACGUAAAACACAAAUUGAACGGCAAUUUGGGUCCAAAAUAACAC